GCAUUAAUGGGGUAGUGGUAACCUGGGUCGUUGCCAUGGACCAAGUUCGCCGACAGCGUCGACCCGCCGGGGGUUCAAUUCCCUCUUAAUGCA
rnacentral:tRNA from 1 species